rnacentral:ncRNA from 1 species
UGCCUUUGGGGCCGGGUGAAAUUCCCGACCGGCGGUGAAAGUCCGCGAGCGCCCCCUUUUUUGAAAAGGAGGGGCGCCGAUCCGGUGAAAUUCCGGGACCGACAGUAGAGUCUGGAUGGGAAAAGGC